rnacentral:lncRNA from 1 species
UCUGGUCUAUCUUAUAGGAGGGACUAGAUAUCACUCUGUCUAUCUUAUAGGAGUGGUUCUAGAUCACUCUGUCUAUCUUCUAGGAGUGGUUCUAGAUCACUGUCUGUUAUAGGAGUGGUUCUAGAUCACUCUGUCUAUGUUAUAGGAGUGGUUCUAGAUCACUCUGUCUAUCUUCUAGGAGUGGUUCUAGAUCACUCUGUCUGUUAUAGGAGUGGUUCUAGAUCACUCUGUCUAUGUUAUAGGAGUGGUUCUAGAUCACUCUGUCUAUGUUAUAGGAGUGGUUCUAGUGCUCUCUGUGUCUGAGGGGAGGCACUAACAUAAUUAUCAUGAAGUUCAUUAAAUCUUUAAGCCAGAGGUGUUAAUAGCGACAGAUUUCCACCAUCAGUGGUAGAUGUGUAGAGACUAAUCUAUGAGAUGAGGUAGUGUUGAUGAACAGGGCAGGAAGUCGUUUCCUACGAUAGUAACAGGUACUAGAGGUGAACCAUCUGACUGUUUUACUGCUCAAUUCAGUUAUACAGCACCAGACGUCUUGAUCGUUAACUCAUAUCUGAGAUGAUCUGAUGUGUUGAGGGUGAAGGUGUUGAGGGUGAAAAUGUCUUUGUGAAGGUGGAGGGGGUGAAGAUGUCUUUGUGAAGGUGGAGGGGGUGAAGUUGUCUUUGUGAAGGUAGAGGGGGUGAAGAUGUCUUUGUGAAGGUGUUGAGGGUGAAGCUGUUGAGGGUGAAGUUGUCUUUGUGAAAGCUGUCUUUGUGAAGCUGUUGAGGGUGAAACUGUUGAGGGUGAAGAUGUCUUUGUGAAGGUGUUGAGGGUGAAGCUGUCUUUGUGAAGGUGGAGGGGGUGAAGCUGUCUUUGUGAAGGUGGAGGGGGUGAAGAUGUCUUUGUGAAGGUGUUGAGGGUGAAGCUGUCUUUGUGAAGGUGGAGGGGGUGAAGCUGUCUUUGUGAAGGUGUUGAGGGUGAAGAUAUCUUUGUGAAGCUGUUGAGGGUGAAGAUGUUUUUGUGAAGGUGCUCAUUACAGUAAGUCUGCAUUACAAAUAGCAGCCUAUUCCCUUCAUAGUAAGCCUCUGGUCUAAAGUAGUGCCCUAUAUAGGGAAUAGGGUGCCGUUUAAGGAUGCAGGUCCUGUGUUUCAGUCUCCUGGUCUGUUUGUCGGUAAUCAUUCCUCCUGAUCUGCCAUCGCUGCUCCCAAGGCACGCUGCUGUCCUGAAGUGUCCAUGUUGCUAUGGUGACAGGUUGCCAUGCUGACUGCUUUCUGAUUGGUUGGCUUAGAGAGAGGUGUCUGUCUGUGUAGAUGGAAUAUGUUUUUCCAGUUGUGCUCUCUCGUCUGCGUCUUACAGUGUCAAUGUAAUGUCUACCUUUGUUCAGGUUCAAAUCCUUUUGUCAUCCCGUCACUGGGCAGUUUGUUCACAGCACAACAAAUAGUAUUUGUGUAUUUUUUAAAGCAACAAAGUCCUAUAAUUCAACACUCCAUUGGAAUCCACGAUGCCAAUAUCAUUUUUCCUUCUGGGGGGUAAAUAAAGUGUACCAGUCUUUACAUUCUGGAAUUCCUAAAUCCCAAAGUCCCCUUUUUCCUCUGUGGAGUGUUGGUGGUGAUCCAGGAUGAGCUGCGGGGUCGAGCUCUGAGCCUGAGUAGCUCCUACGCUGAGAGGAGCAGGCAGGACCAGCCUUAGGCCCCAGGCAGCUUCUAUUUGAUGCUGGAAUCCCCUAGGUGAGGAUGCUGGGGUUGGCUGGGCGCGAGAUUUACUCUGAUCCUCGGGGGCUCCAGGAUUCUUUUCUCUCUUUUCCUGUGUCCCAAAAGGCAACCUCUAUUCCCUACAUAGUGCACUACUUUCCAUUGGUGGUGACUGUGAUUCAGUAUUCCAGGGGUACACAUGAACAAGCCUUGCUGUUGUUGUGGUCCUGAGGAAAAUGACCCUCUCUGGGACUUCCUGCCAGGGCUGAGGAGUUAACAACACAUGAGUUCUUCAGAUCUGGCUUGUCGUUGUAGAGGACUAAGGUCCCAGUUUAAGGCAGGUAGGAAAGCUUGGUCUGUGUUGGUACCUACACAGCAUUUUAACAGCAGGUUAUACUCGGAUGCAUGUUCCUGUGUGUGUGUGUGUGUGUGUGUGUGUGUGUGUGUGUGUGUGUGGAAGAUGUAUUGUAGAGAAAACAGAGAUAAAUCACCUGAUUUGACAGUCAGAAGAACAAUGACAUGAAACAUCAAUUAAACUACAGCAGGAUGGAGAGAGAAAGGAGAGCUGCUCUGCUCACACACGCACGCACGCACGCACGCACACACACACACACACACACACACACGCACAAGCACACGCACACGCGCACACGCACACACACACACACUCUUGUCUCUAUCAGAG